rnacentral:rRNA from 1 species
ACCGGGUUGAUAGGCGGCAGGCGCAAGCGCGGCGACGCGCUCACCCGAGCCGUACUAAUAGGCCGCGAGGCUUGGCCAU